GACGAACGCUGGCGGCGUGCUAACCCAUGCCAGUCGCACGGAAAGGCCCUGCUUUUGUGGGGUGCUCGAGUGGCGAACGGGUGAGUAACACGUGAGUAACCUGCCCUUGACUUUGGGAUAACUUCAGGAAACUGGGGCUAAUACCGGAUAGGAGCUCCUGCUGCAUGGUGGGGGUUGGAAAGUUUCGGCGGUUGGGGAUGGACUCGCGGCUUAUCAGCUUGUUGGUGGGGUAGUGGCUUACCAAGGCUUUGACGGGUAGCCGGCCUGAGAGGGUGACCGGCCACAUUGGGACUGAGAUACGGCCCAGACUCCUACGGGAGGCAGCAGUGGGGAAUAGUGCACUAUGGGCGGAAGCCUGAUGCAGCAACGCCGCGUGCGGGAUGACGGCCUUCGGGUUGUAAACCGCUUUCGCCUGUGACGAAGCGUGAGUGACGGUAAUGGGUAAAGAAGCACCGGCUAACUACGUG
rnacentral:rRNA from 1 species